ACUAGUAGAUAUAUUAGUGAAAUGUCAGCCAUAGAUGAAAUAGAUGACGUAUUGAAGAACGAUACAAUGGCAAAGUGUCCCAUUGAAAUAGAAGUGUAUUUUCUCUGAAAGGGUAUUAUAGUCAGUUGGUGAAAAAUGGUUGACAGUACAAUGCCUUAGUGUGUUUUGAUGAGUUGAAACAGGACCUGAAUUGACAGGAAUUGAAGUGUGACAAAAGUGGCUAUACUAAAGAAGCAUUUGUACUGUAAUGUUGUGAAAGAUGCAUUUGAAUGGAUUAGAGAUGUGAUUAGAGAGCAGUAAUUGGACAUGUGGGUUAUAUGUACUGUAUAUGGUCAUAUACCAUAUAUGUUCCUGUAAAUGUAGGUCCUGUGUGAAUGAAUGAAAUGGCAUUGUACCUUACCAUGUACUUGGUUGAAUAUGCGGCACUUGUUUGCUAUUUUGUGGCCAGACUCAGCUUUGCUAUUGAAUAAUGUGUGCCUUAAUGAUGUAUUAGAGUGAAUUAAGGCUGCGGGUGUUUGUAAGCUAUGUAGGCCCUGCAUACAUACCUUUUGAAGUAGACAAUGUUUAAUUUGGAUGGGACACCCUCCACCUUAGCAAGUACUUGGUUGAGUAUGCAAUAGUUUUGUCAGUGUAAUGUUGGAAUAAAAUGUCUUGGUUUUGUAGCAUUUUUGAAUAGCCGUAGCUUUUUCCCGUGUAGUAGGAUGUAGAAAUAGCAUGAGAUUUUAUAUGUGGUAGUGGAGGGUUUAUUUGAAUGUUGUGUGAAAUGUUUUGUGUGUCACUGUGUGACACUGCGAAAAAGAUUGAUUGUACAGACUGUGGAAAUGGAAUAAAUGAGGUGGUUUGUGACUGUUCCACAGGACUGUAAAGAAAUGCCCGAGGUUUUUCCCCCCAUGUAGAGGUUGCUGCAGUGACUGGAGGUAUAAAUAAAAAGUUUUGUUUUGGUGUGGUGUGUGUUUUUGCCCUAUGUUCAGUAUUAUGUUUUCAGCAUGCUUUUGUUUUUUUUAAAUGGUGUCGAAUUAGUUUGGAGCCCAAUAAUGUUGUACUUUAAAGGUAUGUGUGAAGGUAUUUGACGGUAACCUAAAGCGUGUGUAAAUUGUGCAAAGACAUCCGUGUGCAAAAGUGUUAGGCACAUGUAAAGAAAUGUGUAAAGGGAAUGUUGUCCCAAGUGAAGAAUGAGCAGUUUGUAAAUGUGGAAAAGCAGUGUAAGGGCAGCUUUGACCUUUAAAACGGUUAGUCGGGUACACCGCGGUGCGCUUUAAGCGGUCGGCUGUUAGAAACAUAUCGGAGAGGUUGUUGUACAGACUUAGUGUGUGGCUGUCCAGGUAAUUCCAGGCAGCUGCAAUGAAGUAGAAUGUCAACAGGAAUAUCGGCUGGGAAUUUGCGAGUAUUGAAUCGAGCGUUUGUACAGCGGUAUUGAAAUUGAUUGUCAGGAUUACAUGUUGCGCAAUUGUUGUUUUGGAAGAGUUGUUUUGGCUAAACUGUGGUUGUUUUGCAGCUUUAGCAUGCGUUAUGAGAAUGUUCUGCCUUAUUACAGGGAGUAGUGCUUCUGUUUUACAUGUUAAACCUUGUUUGUUGGCGAAUAGUUUGAUGUAUUUGUAUUUGUCCAUUGUGGCAAGUGCUCAUCCCGGUGAGGAACCUUGAGGAAGGCCCUCUUAAUUAGCUGAAAUAGAUGAGAUGUUAUUGUGGAAUGAUGAGUUGUUGAAGUGGCUCUAUUAUCUGUGUACUGCAAGUAGUGCUGGAAUAGUGACCUACCAGCUGAGGUAGAAUAGAUUUCCCUCUUAUAGGCUCACUUAUGUACUGUGUCCAAUAAGGUUAUUUUUAACAUGUGAAAGUGAAGCGGUUGUUUGUUUUUUUUUCCUGUCAGAUGAGCACUUUGGGAUUAAUAUUUGACUAACUGAAGUGACCCUUGGUAAGUGUCAGCUCCCUGACAAUGUCUUUUUAUUUUCAAAGCGCAUUGUAUUGACGCUACUGUCAUUUGAAGUGUUGUGAUGCUGUAAUAAAGUGUAUUUUGGUGUUGUGUUUGUUAUUAUUUAUGGGCAAGCACUGUGGCCCUGUGUGUGUAUCCUUUGUAAUGUGUGUUUUUAAUGGUUUUCCCUGGUAGCCACAGGAAGGGACAUAGGUAUUGCUAGACCGUAUGUGUUUGUUGUAACGGUGUGAAACGGUGUGAAGAAAUGAUCCCUCCAAGUGUUGGGAAUAGCAAAGGGAAAUGACAGCGGGUGUUGUCUCCCAGUAGACUAGACAAGAGUGCUACUGUCAAUUGUUUCCAGAAGAACGGCAAGGACGGGUAAAGUGUUGUCGGUGUCAACGACCGACAAUGUCAGGGACGGUCUCGUCUCCGUCCAGGUGUGGGUAAUUCCCCAGGUAAUCAGACAUGAGGCGCUGUGAUUGGGCGGGCGCGUGUGCGGCCGGUGUGCGGGUGAUUGACGGCAGUACAUGUGCGGAGGGGAGCCCCACAGCGGCAGCGGUGCGGCAGCGACUGUGUGGCCGAAGACGGUGUGGACAAAGACGAAGGAGUCUGCCUGCGGAGUCCGCCCAGGAGGAGGCCGGGAGGCGCCCCGCUCUGCCCAAAUUCACUCUUCUUUCUCGGGUAAGCUCUGUCGCUCGGGCCCCGCUUCCUCCACACACUUCUUGACCCAUCUCUCUGCCCCGCAGCUACCCGGGAAUCGAGCGGCUUCCGUCGGCCGCUUUCUCUCGCUGCUCUGCCUCGGACUUCCGGGCCCUCCCUGCACCGGGGACCGCGUCCGGUCUCCAGGCCUGGCACCCUGCACUCUCAAGACCCAGCUCCGCUCCUCACACUCUGCCGGUCACCGACACCGGCCGAGUUCCACACGUCCGCACUCUCCGCUUUCAACUCACCCAGCUGCAGUCCAACCCCGCCUGGCCGCACACGACGGGAAUCAAUCACCGGUGAAUCCCAACGCUGCCAAUGUCACCUUGAGUACGCCAAUAAACUUCAGUGGCUUGC